rnacentral:rRNA from 1 species
CAAGUGAAUAAGCGUACGCGGUGGAUGCCUUGGCAGCCAGAGGCGAUGAAGGACGUCGUAGGCAACGAAAACUUCGGGGAGCCGCCAAACAGGCUUUGAUCCGGGGGUGUCCGAAUGGGGAAAACCCCGGGG